rnacentral:rRNA from 1 species
UACGGAGGAUGCGAGCGUUAUCCGGAUUUAUUGGGUUUAAAGGGUGCGUAGGCGGACGCUUAAGUCAGCGGUAAAAUUGCGGGGCUCAACCUCGUCGAGCCGUUGAAACUGGGUGUCUUGAGUGGGCGAGAAGUACGCGGAAUGCGUGGUGUAGCGGUGAAAUGCAUAGACAUCACGCAGAACUCCGAUUGCGAAGGCAGCGUACCGGCGCCCAACUGACGCUGAAGCACGAAGGCGUGGGUAUCGAACAGG